rnacentral:sRNA from 1 species
CACUGGUCGAGAGUUGUUGUUGCUCUCCUGAUUAGUUUAAGGCAGGACGAAACCGGUG